UACGAGGGGGGCAAGCGUUGUUCGGAUUCACUGGGCGUAAAGGGUGCGUAGGCGGUCGGGUAAGUCUGAUGUGAAAUCUCACAGCUUAACUGUGAAACUGCAUUGGAUACUAUCCGGCUCGAGGAAUGGAGGGGAGACUGGAAUACUUGGUGUAGCAGUGAAAUGCGUAGAUAUCAAGUGGAACACCAGUGGCGAAGGCGGCGAUCUGGGUUGAUACUGACGCUGAGGUGCGAAAGCGUGGGGAGCAAACAGG
rnacentral:rRNA from 1 species